UGCUACCUGACCUCCCCAUGGCCUCCAGGGGUGUGGCCAUCAAGGCCAGAUUGUCCUGGCUACACUUGUAGCAGGCAAGUAGGGAGGCCCGUGUAGCUAUCACAAGAUUCUCAGCACUUUUUCAAGGAGCUCACCUAAGAAACUAAUGUGUCAAGUCCUCUAGGCACCCACGACGCUGCUGCUGUACCAGGGGGUGAUGGAAUGGACUGGACCACGGGAAAUGUGGACAGGCAUUCCUCUUGAGAUGACUGCAGAUGGCACCCCCUGCUCCCACAACCCCAGCUCUGUCAUGGCCCACCACCCCGAGAAGCCUGAGGAGACCUCCACACAGCCCGCAGAGGGAAGAGAUGAGCCUGUCCCAUGGCCCCCAUCCGAUCCCUGGAUCAACACCCCCUGGGGUCCAAUGAUAGCCCUAGAGGACACAUGCAGGGGUACCCACUGUGAGCCUCGGGUCAAGCAGACCUUUGUGUGCCCUACUCUGUCCAGCAGCGGAGGGGGCAGAGCAGCGUGUUUCCUGUUGGUAUUAUCUUUCCUCAUUUUUUUUUUAAUUUAUGAGAAACUGCUUUAUUGAGAAGAAAGAAUGAUUUAAACGGUCCUGUGGUGCCUGCCGGUCCUUUUCUCGCCUGGGGGAAAGAAAUAAAUAAAUAACAUCCGCUCUGUGAUCUGUAUGCACAGGA
rnacentral:lncRNA from 1 species